AGAGUUUGAUCCUGGCUUAGGAUGAACGCUAGCUACAGGCUUAACACAUGCAAGUCGAGGGGCAGCAUGAAACUUAGCUUGCUAAGUUUGAUGGCGACCGGCGCACGGGUGAGUAACACGUAUCCAACCUACCGUUUACUACGGGAUAGCCUUCUGAAAAGGAGAUUAAUACCGUAUGGUAUUCUAAAGUUUCAUGACAUUAGAAUUAAAGGUUUACCGGUAAUCGAUGGGGAUGCGUUCCAUUAGAUAGUAGGCGGGGUAACGGCCCACCUAGUCAGCGAUGGAUAGGGGUUCUGAGAGGAAGGUCCCCCACAUUGGAACUGAGACACGGUCCAAACUCCUACGGGAGGCAGCAGUGAGGAAUAUUGGUCAAUGGGCGAGAGCCUGAACCAGCCAAGUAAGCGUGAAGGAUGACUGCCCUAUGGGUUGUAAACUUCUUUUAUAAAGGAAUAAAGUGGUCCACGUGUGGAUUUUUGUAUGUACUUUAUGAAUAAGGAUCGGCUAACUCCGUGCCAGCAGCCGC
rnacentral:rRNA from 1 species